UCAUAAUGGUAAACGACUUUCCACCUAAAGUCAGUGCUAAGACAAAGUUGCCUGCUUUGCCGUUUCUACUCAACACAGUAUUAGAGGGUCAAGCCUAAGCAAUUAAGCAAGAAAAAUAAAUAAAAAUGCACCCAGAUUAGAAAGUAAAACUCAGUCUAUCCACAGAGGGCACGAUGACAGAUUCAGAAGAUCCUGGAGAAUGUACACACGCAAACACUGACGUGAGAACAACACGGCAAGGUUGCAGGAUAUAAGAUCCAUGUGCAAAAAUCAGUUGUCUCUCUAAAAACGAAACCAAGGAGGCCGUUCCAUUAAUAGCUUCGAGAAGAAUCAACAUGCUUGAGAAUGAAUUUAACCACAAGGUGAAAGACUGAGCUACGGAAAACUAGAAAACACCCCUGAAAGAGAUGAAAGAAAACCUCAGCGAACGGAAAGACAUCCCAUGUUCAUGGAUCGGGAGACCAAACACGGGGAAGAGGCAGGACCUCCCGAGGAGGCCCACAGACUGGAGGCAGUCCCUGUCAGAAAAGGGACAAGUGGACCCUAUAAUGCAUACGGACUCUCAAAGAAGCCCAAGUGGCCAAAACAAUCUGGAAACAGAAGGACCAAGUUGGUUUGGGAGUCCACACGUCGAGACCUGUUACAGAGACCCAGGGAUGAGGCCGGCUGACAGACGGCAGACCCAGGGGUCAGGGGCAUGGACGUGGGAGCCCAGGAACAGGUCCACACACCUGUGACAUCUCUCCACCAGGUACCGGGACCAUUUGACGGAGGAAAGAAAACACUCUCCCUGAGAGAACUGGACACCCACGUGGAAAAGGAUGAAGCUGGACUCUAACCUCACACCACGUGGACGCUCCACAGGGAAAGGAGUUGGCCUCCUAUGUUCCAUCCUAGCCCUGCAGCACCCACAACAAUGUUGGGCUCCUGGGCGUCCACUGGAGUGGCGUGUGACCGGCACAGCCUGGCACAGGGUGCCCAAGGACACAUGCCCAUGCUGCCCAGCACGGACCCGGACCGCAAGACAAAGGGUCAUGGAAGUCCGCUGAAGGCAGGAGCCCAGCACUGGCCGAGCCCAACUGCCUCCCUCCAUGGGCACCUCUGGACCUUGCACACAGUAGGUGCUCAGUAAACACAGGUUUCCCUGCUCUGAUGUUUUGUUGCAAACAUCUGAUGGCUUUUCUCCUCGGUGCCCUGUGCAUGGACACUCCUGCAGGGCCGGGCAUGAAGCCCAGAACUGGGGUGAGGACAGAGAGGGACACAGCAGGGGACAGGGUGACCAUUACGUAACUCACAGAGAACAGCCACGGACGGGGCCACUGCAGGCCACCCGGCACCUCGUCCCCCACAGCCAAGCCUCUCCCGAUAGCCCAACCUUCCCUGGCCACCAGGGGGUCCCUCCCCUCCAUGGGAAACCAAGACCCCUCCCCUUCCCAGUCUGUGGCACCUUCUCCCUUCACAGCUCCACUGGCUUGUCACCUCUUUGUUGUCUCUGGUGACAAUUUAAACCUCACCUCCUUACUUGA